AAUCAACGCUGGCGGCGUGCCUAACACAUGCAAGUCGAACGCGAGAGGGGCUUCGGCCCCGAUUGAGUGGCGAACGGGUGAGUAACGCGUGGGUGACCUACCUUCGAGUGGGGGAUAACGUCCCGAAAGGGACGCUAAUACCGCAUAACAUCCUGCUUUUGAAUGGGUGGAGAUCAAAGCCGGGGAUCGCAAGACCUGGCGCUUGAUGAGGGGCCCGCGUCUGAUUAGCUAGNGGUGAGGUAACGGCCCACCAAGGCAACGAUCAGUAUCCGGCCUGAGAGGGCGGACGGACACACUGGGACUGAGACACGGCCCAGACUCCUACGGGAGGCAGCAGUGGGGAAUUGUUCGCAAUGGGCGCAAGCCUGACGACGCAACGCCGCGUGGAGGAUGAAGGUCUUCGGAUUGUAAACUCCUGUUGCCCGGGACGAAUGGCUCCGACCUAACACGUCGGAGUGUGACGGUACCGGGUGAGGAAGCCCCGGCUAACUCUGUGCCAGCCGCCGCAGU
rnacentral:rRNA from 1 species